AAAUUUGGAGGAGAUGUCAAUUGAUCAAUUAAUGGGAUCCUUACAAGCAUAUGAAGAAAAGCAUAAGAAAAAACAAGAUAUAGUGGAGCAAUUACUCAAGAUGCAAAUAAAAGAUAAGGAAGAAAAUAUCAGAAAUGGACGAGGUCAAUAUGGAGGAGGUCGUGGUCGUGGACGAGGUCGAGGCCAUGGACGUGGACGAGGAGGUUUC
rnacentral:lncRNA from 1 species